CUCUUCAGAUAUCCAAAAUACCCCUACUUGUUUUUAUCGAUUUGUGGCAUUUCCGGCGAAGCUUAGAUUUCACCGGAGCUGCUACACUACUUGUUUCUGAGACUCUGAGAUCAUUAAUCUUAUGUCUGGUCUAAUUUUCUUUUUGUUCCUUUCCAUUUGGAGCUCUUUGAAGUUCGAAUCUUGAAAACUGUGGUUUUGCCUCUGCUUUUGAACGGUGGAGAGAUUUCUAGGGUUUCCUCACUGAAUAUUUCAGUUAUUCUCGCUCCUUGUUUUGCUUUUCGGGGGGAAUCAUUUUGAAACCGUCUUCUGUUGCAUUCCUUGUAAUAUUGCUGAACAUCUGCUGUUUUGAAAAGUAACCUUACCGUUUCUAAAAACUCAUUCUUUAGCUGCUUGGGCAGUAGGGCAAAGGGGACAAAGUGGGAGCUUUUGUUUAUUUGGACAGCUUUUGAGGAGGCGUUGGUUGUUCUUUUCGAAGAAUAGCGCAGAAUUUUUUUCUAAGGAAGGUGUCUAUCGUUGAAUCAAUCUUUUCAGCUCCUAGAAAGCUCGUAUUCUGUACUUUUGGUUCUGUUGUUAAGUUCUUCUCACACCAUCUCUUAAAUUCCCCACUUGGAAGUAGAAUGUGACGGUCAUUGUCUUGCUUUUGCUUACCUUUACUUAGAAUCGUUCUGUUUGAUUAGUUUUAAUCUCUCUCUCUCUAAAGCUAGUGAAGUGUCUUUCGCUUGCUGCAAACCCUAUUGGUGGCGUUUUGAGGUUCUUCAGCUUCAGGUUGGGUUGGAGGUUCUCUGAGUUCUAUAACACCAUCUCUUAAGAUUUUUCUUAGAUAACGAUUAAAAUGAGAAAGCUACUUAAGUUCCUACUCUUCCUCGCUCUAGUUCCAGCUUUCGUGAGAUCUGUGGAUCCAAAUCUCAACGACGACGUUCUUGGGUUGAUUGUCUUCAAGGCCGACGUCAAAGAUCCAGAGUCAAAACUCGUAUCUUGGAACGAAGAUGAUGAUCGUCCCUGCAACUUGGUCGAGGUGAAAUGCAACGCUCGAACCGACAGUCUCUGAGCUCGUUCUCGAUGGUUCUCCCUUUCCGAAUAAUCUUAAUAAUAAGGGUAUAAUGGUCAUUUUAAUUCUUCACUUAAAAGUGCAUGACGGUAAAAGGUCUGAGCCGAAUUUGGUGAAACAAAGAAGAUGUCUUUAUAAUUGUGACAUUCUUUAGAGUUGA